rnacentral:lncRNA from 1 species
UGGGGACAGCCUUGUUGCGGUAGAGCCCUCCUCUGCCCCACGGCCUCCAGGGCCUCCCCACUGCAGGGCCUCCAGGGCACCAGAGGCAUCCCCCAGCCAAUCAGAGCGCUGCAUCCAAGGCAGGACCUGCUGUGGUAAUCACAGCCCGCACCCACCCCCCUCGGGCGUCACCCAGCAAAUCCAACACUGAGGCAAGGGGAAAGGGGGAGCUGCUGCUUUCCCAACAGCCAAUCAGCUGCUGGCUCCCCACUGGCAGAGGGUGGAGAGCUGCGUGGGGUUGGCAGGUGGAGCAAAGGGGGAGGUACUUCCCUCAGCCAAUGGGGUGCGGGUCCGGUCGCCAUGGCAACGGGGCUCUCUGCAGGGCGGCAGGGGAGGCCUCGCCAACCAAGAUGGCGCCGGGGUAGCCCAUGCGGCGCAGGCAGCCAUCGUGGAACACCCGGUUGCAGACGCGACAGGGGAAGAGGCUCUCGGCUGUCCACACUUCACAGAUCUCGCACAUCUCAUCAUUGAGGACCUGUGGAGCAAUGCUGUAGCUCAGCACCAUGGGGUGCUCAGCAUGGCUCCCUGGCGUGGGGGCCCUACAUCACAGGUAUGUGUAGGAGUGCAGAGGGAACAGGAGAGCAAAUUCUUGGGAUAGUAGGAGGAAUGUCUGGCCAGGUGGCCAGCUGGCCUUAUAGGAGGGUUCAUGGAUUCACAGGAAUGAAUGAAAGGUGGAAGGGUAUGGCUGUAGGGUUGGUGGGGUUGUAAGUUCUCUGGAGUCCAGUGUUGUAGGUGUGGAUGAUCAGGUUGUUAGGCUGUAGGUUGGCUGGACUACAGGCUUAUGGGUGUGGGUAGAUGGAAGUUUUGAUUUGAGAGUUUGCUGACUGUGUGUGAAUGGACAAGCUGUAAAGUUGUUGGUUGGCUGGCGUGCCAGCUUGUAAUUGUGGGUAGGGUUGCAGAUGUGGGUUGGUGGCUAUAGGAUUGCAGGCAUGCAUGAAUAAACUAUGGAGUUGUAGAUUCACUGGGCUGUGAAAGUUGUAGGUGUGGAUUGUUGGGUUGGUCUGUAAGGUUGUGUGAACAAACACACAGAGUGGAUCACCCUAGAACAGGAAAGGUCCUAAUCCCAGAUUCUGCCCUGCUGAGCUGCAUGUGUGCCAUGGCCUAGCCUGCUGAGCCACCUAUCUCAGGGCGGUUUGUCACCACCCUGCAGGCAUUGGAGAUGCUUGCACAUCCCCUGUGUGUCUCCAACCCUGGCCUCAUCCCUACCACCCUGUCCCCAUGCCUGGCUGCUUGCCUGCUCCCGCUGCUCCAGGCUGAUGUCCAGUGGCUCAUCAUCAUGCAGCUCUCGCUGGGGCCGAAUGAAGGCAGGCGGUGUGAACCUGCUGGCUCGAUCAAACUCCUCUGGCUCCACACCUCGGCCAUCCCGCAGCCGCUCCCAGGCAGCCUUGCUGGCGCUGACUUCUUCUGGCUGUGAGGGCCCUGCGGAUGCCUCCUCCUCUGCCUCUUGCACUGUCUGCUCCAGUGUCCCCCGGCGUGUGCCCCCAGCCUCCGCCCGCCUCCGUGCCACUGGCUGCUCCCGCAGCCCAUCUUUGAAAGCGGACACAGCCAAGCUGACCUUCUGCACCUUCUCCACCGUCUGCCGUCUUGACAUCAACACCCCCAUGGCUCUGCAAGGGGGGAAAGGUGCUCAGUGCUAAGCUCUUGUGGUGCAGUGCUGCGCCUUACUGCUGUACCACUGAGACAAGUCCCUGGUCCCCAAAAUAUAUACCCUAGCAUAGUAUACUGGGAACUGUGCUAGGAUGGUGACCAUGGUGGCUGUGGGGAGAAGGAC